rnacentral:Y_RNA from 1 species
GGUGUCCAUGGUGGUGGAUUAUCAGAACUUAUUAAUGUCACUAUCACUAAAGUUGGUAUAUAACCCCCCACUACUAAAUAUGACGAGCUUAAA